rnacentral:rRNA from 1 species
CUAAGUUUGAUGGCGACCGGCGCACGGGUGAGUAACACGUAUCCAACCUGCCGAUGACUCGGGGAUAGCCUUUCGAAAGAAAGAUUAAUACCCGAUGGCACAGUUCUUCCGCAUGGUGGAACUAUUAAAGAAUUUCGGUCAUCGAUGGGGAUGCGUUCCAUUAGGUUGUUGGCGGGUAACGGCCCACCAAGCCUUCGAUGGAUAGGGGUUCUGAGAGGAAGGUCCCCCACAUUGGAACUGAGACACGGUCCAAACUCCUACGGGAGGCAGCAUG